UUCUCCAGAAGCUCUCAGGAGGCCCAGACAGAACCACGACCACGACACUCCUCACAGCGUCGCCGCCAGCGUCGCUUCGGUGGCAGCUUGUGGGGUGAUGUCACAUCCCGUCCUGACAACCGUUGACAGAUACUGCCUCGGACCGGGCGUGGCCGGCUCUGCUCGGGGUUACCUAGGAGACGCUCCGUGUUACCUAGGCGAUCACCUAGGCGCUGAUGUGACUGGAGGUGGUUUUCAAACGCGACUCUUUCUUCACAGUGUGUUCCUUGGCUUGGCCUCCUGCUCUCCUCUCCUGGUUUAUCUCCCUCCUGUUCUCAGCACGUUGUACUUGAAUUACCUCCACCUGUGACCUUGUGUGCUUGAUUUUGGUUUUGCCCUUAUUUGAUCUUUAUUUUUAUUUUUUUCGUCUGAUUUCGUUUGCAUGGCGCGAGGAGCUGUAACAAAGCAACGUGUACGCAGAAAAAUAAGUGCCACGGUGAAAAUAGAUUUUUAUUGACAUUGUUCUUGUCCUUUCGUUGUGCAUUAUUGUUACCAAACUUGGUAUUUGUUUGCUUAGUUUGUGUUUGUUAUUUUGAUGAACCCUGCUUGUUGGAGAGCUUGUAGGCUCUGGUCACCAUUCUAAAAGCUACCUCUAAGUUGUUUUCAUUUUUGCAAAAGCACAUUAUUAUUUUGUCAGUGUGUGUAUGUGUUUUGCAUUAUUAUAUCAUUGCAACUUCAUCUCAUGCGUUCAAGCAUUGGUUAUGAUUGUCUCUCCAUGCUUGUCAGCAACCUUGACAUCAUAUAAAGGGUAAGAGAUGGUGGAGAUGGAUAGGAGAUUUAUUCUUUUCGUGCAGUUCCUCCCUGGCCGUAACUUAGAGAGCGGAGAUUCUGAAGCCUUAAGUAUGGGAUAAGAGGGGUGAGAGGGAUGUUUGGAUUUAGACGUAAUAGUACUUUUAAGAGAGUAAAAAAACAAAAAAAAAACAAGCAUUAAACUUGAAAAUAUGUGAAUAGAAUUGUAGUUUUGUAAUGUGAAAAAGAUGGUUCACAGACUGAACAGGAAAGAACAGGUCAUGUAUGCAGCGAUUGGGUGUGCGUGGGACAUUUGGGACUGCAAGUGGUAAUCAAAGAAAAAAAGUUUAGAAUAAGAGAUCCUAUUGGUCGAUCAAGUUCUCUGGAAGAAAAAAAAAUGAGUGUAUUCCUGAACAAAAGCCAACAGAGGCUAUUUGAUAUAUAAAAUUGUGAUAUUUUUGUAUUCAGUGUCAGUCCUUUUUCCAUUGUCGAGGGUUUCAGCAGGGCAGAUAUUUGUAUUUCUCUUUCUUUUUUUACCUAUAAGUCUUUCUUUCUGGUUUUGGAUUGUUUGCCUUGCUCCUCUUUGGUAAUGUUGGACGUGUGUGAACAUGUUGUUGUAAGUGUUGCUUUCUGGAUGUAAAUGCAUUGUAGGUGAAGGACUAAAUCUAUCUGCCACAAAACGAGUUUUAAAAAAAACUACAAAAAAAAAGAAACAAAAAACUACAAAAAGUAUUCAAAAUGGAAGGCAGGCGAAGCUGUCACCAAUCAGUUAGUACUUGUCAUUCACCAUUAUUAUUUUUAAAUCAACGUUAUUGCCAACCUUUUUGUUUUUGUACUUGAAGUGACUAAAAGAAGAGAGGCGGGUCUCCACCUGCCGUAUUCUCAAACACUGUGAGUAGAGGGAGGCCUCUCACUCCCUCGUUCCCUCGUCCCCUUGCUCCCUUGCCCCCUCGUCUCAUACCCAUCCACUCUAGCCUGUCACCUGAGGCCUGUCACCUGAGGUCGAGGCAAGCCAGUGUCUGAAACAAUUCCACCCAGUCCAAUAACUAGAUGAAUCCAGUCACAUACUCUUAUCAUUGUACUCUGAAUGUUUUCUACUUAUGCGUGUGUGUAAGUGUGUGUAGAUGAGUGUGUCCACUCUGUGUGUGUGUGUGUGUGCGCGUGUGUGAAUUAGUGAAAAAUGCACUAAUCAGAUCAAAUACAAAAUAAAAAAUGAUGCUCUGCCACUUUUUCUCUCUAUAUGUUGGAAAAAAUACAAAAUGGCAUUGAUAUAGUUCUUCCCUCAAUGUUAAUCUGAUGUUUCUGUAAUAUCUUUGUGCCUAAAAAUGGAAAUUGUUCAACAAAAUGUCCAUCUAUAUCUGCUUAGUUUCUGUAUUUUCAGAAGAAAAUAAAUGGUGUCUCCAGCACUCUAGGGAUGUCUUGAGGAUUUCAAAUGACCUGGUUUCUGAUUCUGAAUAGUUGGUUUUAUUUUCAAGGAAGGUAGUGCCCUCAAACCUUAACAAAUUGGUAAUGGGGGAAAAAACGAAAUCUGCAUUCAAUGUUUUGCCCCUCUUCUAACCUCAUUCUCUAGUAUUCGUCCCAAAAACUGUAAUUUACUUACACCCCAAAAAAAACAAGUAAAUAAAAACAUAUCGAAUAAUACACUGUUAAGCCAAACGGUUGUAAGACUUUAAGAUUAUAAACAUUCCUGUCUAUGGAAAAAAAAAAUAUGCAUUUUUCUUCCUCAAAUCUGCGCUUAAAAUGCCUCUGCAUUUGGAAAUAAUGUCAGUUUUUUUUCAGUAAAAAAAAGUUUAUUUUUGACCGGUUGGCAAAAAGAGGGUCACCCUCUGAUCAUUUUGUAAAAAAAAAAAGUUGACAAAAAACAAGAAAAAAAAAAAACAA